rnacentral:rRNA from 1 species
GACGAACGCUGGCGGCGUGCUUAACACAUGCAAGUCGAGCGGUAAGGCCCUUUCGGGGGUACACGAGCGGCGAACGGGUGAGUAACACGUGGGUGACCUGCCCUCAGCUCUGGGAUAAGCCUGGGAAACCGGGUCUAAUACUGGAUAUGACUCCAUGACGCAUGUUGUGGGGUGGAAAGCCUUGUGCGGCUGAGGAUGGGCCCGCGGCCUAUCAGCUUGUUGGUGGGGUGANGGCCUACCAAGGCGACGACGGUAGCCGGCCUGAGAGGGCGACCGGCCACACUGGGACUGAGACACGGCCCAGACUCCUACGGGAGGCAGCAGUGGGGGAAUCUUGCGCAAUGGGCGAAAGCCUGACGCAGCGACGCCGCGUGA